GCCGUAUCGUAUAGAUAGGGAUACUCAUCAAAUAAAUACAGAAAACCGGGAAGAUUUCUCUUGUCAAUGGCGGGCCAUAUAAAGUUCACUCGUGAACCUAAGCCGUAAGGCCGGUGGAUUACAAAGACGGAGAGCUCUCAAAUCAUUUCAACUCGGAGUUUCAUCACUUCAUCGAUACGGCCCUC
rnacentral:sRNA from 1 species